UACGUAGGGGGCAAGCGUUGUCCGGAUUUAUUGGGCGUAAAGAGCGUGUAGGCGGCCAGAUAGGUCCGUUGUGAAAACUGGAGGCUUAACCUCCAGCGGUCGAUGGAAACCAUCUGGCUAGAGUCCGGAAGAGGAGAGUGGAAUUCCUGGUGUAGCGGUGAAAUGCGCAGAUAUCAGGAAGAACACCCGUGGCGAAGGCGGCUCUCUGGGACGGUACUGACGCUGAGGCGCGAAAGCUAGGGGAGCAAACGGG
rnacentral:rRNA from 1 species